rnacentral:lncRNA from 1 species
AUUUUAUGUUGUCCUCAUCCCUAUGGCGCUAGUGCUCAUAAAAGCAAGCGGUAGGAUGAGUUCGUUUGUAUAACUCUUAAUGAGUCCGAGACCCAAGAGGCAGGAGCUUCCUUGCUAGCAUCCUUAUUAGGACUCACCUAUAUGUGCAGUCGUGAGGCUGCGAUUAUGGAAAAUGGGCGAUUCCCUAAAAAGCACAUGAAAGAUACCUGCGCAUGGCCAUAAUAGCGC